UACGAAACGCGAAUGAACUACAGCGGACAUGAAGGAAGGAAGCGUCAUUGCAGCGGAGAAGAAAUCGAACACCAACUUUGAUUUGGGGGUUCAACCCUUGGUUCCUUGUUCGUCGCAGGCCAAAAAGGGGACCGGGAGGCAUCGGCGAUUGCCUAUUGCAAGGAGGAGAGGUCAUCUCCGGGGCUCCGCGAAUCGAUGCAACGAAGGGAACAAGAAUGAAGCUUCAUCUUCGUCUAAUCGGUUAGGUAGAAGCUAAAAUCGAAGGUAGAAAUCAAAUCAGUUUGGUGGUGGUUUAGUUGAUUGCGAGCAGUGGCGCCAGCAGGUGGCGCAUCUUCUUUCUUUUCUGGCCUGAUAGAUAGCAAACACGAAAGGAGGAAGGUCUUGGUCUUCACCUGAUUUCGAAAGGGUUGAAUAGACUAAAUCAGAAAACGAGAAGCAGCACAACAGGUAUUUGGGAAAUUUUUUGGUUGUAGUGAACUUGAUGAUAAACAAAUGUAAUCAAGAAAGGAUUUUCUCCAUCUUGAUUACCGAGAACUACCUACAUCUAGUGGUGUUUUUGGUAGGAGAACGGAGGAGAAGAAUUGAGAAGGCAGAAGAUCUUGGAGCUAGCUUGCCAUCGAGAUAGAAGAGAACAGGAGGUUGAGUCGAGGGAGGUAGCAACAACAGUGAUCGAAGGGGUGUUUGGCUAGUUCUUCUUCAACAGAAAAAUGAACGGGAAGCAAUAGGGAAAGAAUUAGAACUAAGAGGUUGCUGUUUAUUGAAAUCAAAAGGAAGAAGAUGAAAUGGGAUGAAGAAUGAUGAAGCAGUCGUUAUCAUUUUGCAGUCCAUUGUGAAUAUCUUAUAUGAUUCGUAUGUAUUGUAUGUAUUGUAUCUGUGAGUGUGUCUUGCAACUGCACUGUGAAAUCUUGGAGUGUUAAUGAAUGUUCAAUGGAUGGGGCUUCCAUGAAA